UCAGCACCACAUACGGGAUCUCUCAGCCAGGCUAUCCAGUGAGCCUCAACCGGUCUCCACCGGAACUUCACCUUCAGCAGCUGUGUCUCCAACGUGAGACCCCUAGAUGAAUUCCACUGCUCGGGGACCACUGUUUCAAUAUAGCCCAAUAGCCAGAGGGAGGGGACGGACUGUCCUCAGAUCAUCUUUACCCAGCCAGGUUGGCUCCUGAAGGACCAGAGGUAAGGUUCAACUAAGACCUUCACACUGGAGCACCAAUGUCCAGUCUCCCACACUGAGCAACCUCUUCAGGUAACUGAGAUCUGAGCGUGAGGACCUGACUGACCCUGACAGUCUUCCCGUUCCAGCCACCUAAGAUAGCUCUCACAGAGACUCAGGGGAAACCGAGAUCCUGACUGGUACCAAAUAAUGAGAAACCUCUUGGAAUCUCAGUUUGAAGGCACCGGAAGUUGUUACUUGACACUCGCUUCGUAGACAUCCGUUCCGUCUUCAUCAACAGAGCACUCCAUGCCAAGUCAUUUGUAAUAGACAGGAAUUGACUGGAUUGACGGACCAUGGCUCUGAUGGCCCAGAAAUCCAAAAUGAAGGGCCGGCACCGUGUCUUGCUGCCUGGCAGCACUGCAGUAAAGCACCCUGGGUCAGAAGGCGGAGAGGUGGGGAAGUGAAGCUCUGUCGAAGGAACAUACCGCCCAAUAAUGACCCUGGGAACUAAGUGCUGUGUAUGUGAUCCCAGCUCUGGGCUAGGAAGAAAGAUCAACAGUUCAGGUGCAGCCCAGGCUGCAUAACGAACUUACCUAAAAAGUCAUUACAAUAAAUAAAUA